rnacentral:rRNA from 1 species
UACGUAGGGUGCGAGCGUUGUCCGGAAUUAUUGGGCGUAAAGAGCUCGUAGGCGGUCUGUCGCGUCGGAUGUGAAAACCCAGGGCUUAACCCUGGGCCUGCAUUCGAUACGGGCAGACUAGAGUUCGGUAGGGGAGACUGGAAUUCCUGGUGUAGCGGUGAAAUGCGCAGAUAUCAGGAAGAACACCAAUGGCGAAGGCAGCUCUCUGGGACGGUACUGACGCUGAGACGCGAAAGCGUGGGGAGCGAACAGG